UACGUAGGGUGCGAGCGUUGUCCGGAAUUAUUGGGCGUAAAGAGCUUGUAGGCGGUUUGUCGCGUCUGCUGUGAAAUCUCAAGGCUCAACCUUGAGCUUGCAGUGGGUACGGGCAGACUAGAGUGUGGUAGGGGAGACUGGAAUUCCUGGUGUAGCGGUGAAAUGCGCAGAUAUCAGGAGGAACACCGAUAGCGAAGGCAGGUCUCUGGGCCACUACUGACGCUGAGAAGCGAAAGCAUGGGGAGCGAACAGG
rnacentral:rRNA from 1 species